UACGGAGGGUGCGAGCGUUGUCCGGAAUCAUUGGGCGUAAAGGGCGCGUAGGUGGCCUGGUCAGCGUGCGGUGAAAGCUCGGGGCUCAACCCCGAGUCGGCCGUGCGAACUGCUGGGCUGGAGCACUGUAGAGGCAGGCGGAAUUCCGGGUGUAGCGGUGGAAUGCGUAGAGAUCCGGAAGAACACCAACGGCGAAAGCACUCUGCUGGGCCGACACUGACACUGAGAGACGAAAGCUAGGGGAGCGAAUGGG
rnacentral:rRNA from 1 species